rnacentral:rRNA from 1 species
UACGUAGGUGGCAAGCGUUUAUCCGGAAUUAUUGGGCGUAAAGCGCGCGCAGGUGGUUUCUUGAGUCUGAUGUGAAAGCCCACGGCUCAACCGUGGAGGGUCAUUGGAAACUGGGAGACUUGAGUGCAGAAGAGGAAAGUGGAAUUCCAUGUGUAGCGGUGAAAUGCGUAGAGAUAUGGAGGAACACCAGUGGCGAAGGCGAAUCCCUGGAAAAUACCUGACACUGAGGCACGAAAGCUAGGGGAGCAAACAGG